rnacentral:lncRNA from 1 species
CGCACAGCAGCUACAGGGGCUCCCUGGGGCUUUAAUCACAGGACUAGGUAGUCAGAAGCAGUUAAAUUGUGCUGCGGGACUCUUUUUGACAUUCCACAGAAUUCAGAGAAACUCUCCUGCGUCCACUGACGGAUGGAGGGGCCGGAAAAGUUUGGGCCUGAAUUUCCCUUCCCUAGGCCCUCCACCUCCCAAGGCUCCCACGAAGCCCUCCCCCUCUAGGGGCUCCGCAGUACCUCUGUGUCCACACCCCUCCAUCCCCAGGCCCUCCCGCCAGCUUCCCCGCGCAACCCCUCUGCUGCCCCAGUCCUAAUUCGCAGCGUCCUCGCCGCCGCAGCUGCAGCCCCCCAAGGGCUCUAGGAUCCCCCGGGAAGAAACGGUCAAUGUCAAAAAGGAUGAGAAAAGUGUCUGAGGAAGGAUAUACAACUGAACAGAAACUGUCUGACAACUUUCUUGGCUCAUUCAAGCAAUCUUUAUGGAGGACAUACCCCGGUCUCAAUAAUUGACUACAAUGCCACAUGCUAUCAGUUGGAAGAAAAUGAGGCAUAGCUUUUACUUUUCCAGAACUCAUUGUUAAGCGUUUCUGAAAUUAUUGGACUUCCCCAUGGCUGUUGGAAUCAUUUAGGCAUCUGUAAUGGCAGCUGAGUGUUGGUGCUUUGGCUGUAGACAUUGCUAUUAAGUAUUACGACAGUCUCCAUUGACAGACUGUUUACCCACUGUAGGGGACAUAGGUACCUUUAUGUUUUUUCUGUACAUCAGAAGAUCUGGAUCUAACAUUAGCUUCGCCAUUGACUAACAGCGAUGCAGGUUGGCCAGGGUCAGCAUCACCAUUGCUUAGCUUGAUUGCUGGCUUUCAUUGCAUUUGCUGAAUGAAUGCAAAAGAUAUGAAAAAAAUAAAGGUAGGACCUUGGGUAAUUCUGUCAACUUGUCUAACCUUCAGAUUCAUCAUUUUAAAAAUGACAUAACUGCAAUAAUG